AUUAAAGUUGCUGCGGUUAAAAAGCUCGUAGUUGGAUUACGGAGUGGUGUUUAAAUGUCAUUUUGGUUGGUCUGUCCUUCGGGGCAUUCUGGUCAACUUGGCACUUACUCACUGAUGUCAUUGUCUUUGCCCAAGGUAAUUGCCUUGUGUGCAUGGCAUUGACCUUCUAUUUUAUGGUAAUGAGGUCAUCUUUCGAGGUGACUCUUCAUUCCAUAUAGUUUACUUUGAAAAAAUUAGGGUGUUUAAAGCAGGCGAAAAGGCUUCGGAAUAUAUUAGCAUGGGAUAAUAGAAUACGAUUUAGGUCGUAAUUUGUUGGUUUCUACGGCUUAGGUAAUGAUUGACAGGGAUAGUUGGGGUCGCUCGUAUUGAGUUGUCAGAGGUGAAAUUCUAGGAUUAACUCAAGACGAACUAAUGCGAAAGCAUUCGGCAAGGAUGUUUUCAUUAAUCAAGAACGAAAGUUGGGGGAUCGAAGAUGAUCAGAUACCGUCUUAGUCUCAACUGUAAACUAUGUCAACCGAGGAUCCAGUAGCGUUACAUGGAUGACCUUCUGGGCACUCUGUGAGAAAUCACAAGUAUUUGGAUUUCGGGGGGAGUAUGGUCGCAAGGCUGAAACUUAAAGGGAUUGACGGAAGGGCACCACCAGGAGUGGAAUCUGCGGCUUAAUUUGACCCAACACGGGAAAACUUACCAGGUCCGGACACAGUGAGGAUUGACAGAUUGAGAGCUCUUUCUUGAUUUUGUGGGUGGUGGUGCAUGGCCGUUUUUAGUUGGUGGAGUGAUUUGUCUGGUUAAUUCCGUUAACGAACGAGACCUUAACCUAUUAAAUAGCUGCGCGAACCCAGGUUCUUUAACCAUUCUCUCCUUCGGGGGGGCGUGGUAUCAUUGUUUUUACUUCUCACCUUCGGGUGGGGGGUAGGGCAAUGAUAGGGCCUGAGAUGAGUUGGUGAUUUGGCUUCUUAGAGGGACUACUUGCAUCCUUAGCAAGGGGAGGUUUGAGGCAAAAACAGGUCUGUGAUGCCCUUCGAUGUUCUGGGCUGCACGCGCGUUACACUGGCGCAUGCAAAGAGUUUAAAAUUCCUGUCCCGAUGGGGUUGGGAAAUCUUUUUAAAGUGCGUCGUGAUGGGGAUAGAGCAUUGAAAUUAUUGCUCUUGAACGAGGAAUUCCUAGUAAUUGCAGGUCAUCAACCUGCAAUGAUUACGUCCCUGCCCUUUGUACACACCGCCCGUCGCUCCUACCGAUGGUUGAACCGAUGAGGACUCGGGAUUAUCUUAUUAGAUCGGUCGGUCGAAAGAUCGAUAGACUAUUAGGUAAGAACUUGUUCAAAUCUUUUUAACUAGAGGAAGGAGA
rnacentral:rRNA from 1 species